rnacentral:rRNA from 1 species
UACGAGGGGUGCUAGCGUUGUUCGGAAUCACUGGGCGUAAAGCGCGCGUAGGCGGCUUUUCAAGUCAGAGGUGAAAUCCCCAGGCUCAACCUGGGAAUUGCCUUUGAAACUGUAAAGCUGGAGUGUCGGAGGGGAUAGCGGAAUUGCUAAUGUAGAGGUGAAAUUCGUAGAUAUUAGCAGGAACACCGGUGGCGAAGGCGGCUAUCUGGACGACAACUGACGCUGAGGAGCGAAAGCGUGGGGAGCGAACAGG